AUGGACCAUCAGCUACGGAAUAUGUUGGCUAACCUCUCACAGGUUGCUAACAAUUUUUUUCUUAUUGUCAUCUUGGUAAUUGACAUUGGUGGUAUUGUCUUUUAGUUCAACAGAAAGUUGUUCAAGUGAAAAUUCAGAGGAACAUGUGGAACAAAAGACAUGGUAUAAAAAGGAAAGGAAAGACUAAACAGUACAAUGAUGCAGGUUCGGGUUUCAUAUGUUGUCUUCGCUGCCUCAUGAAUAUGCUAGCAUGGUUGUCUUCUGGAUUAUGCACAUGUCUUUGUUUGCCAUAUACUCUCGACGCAUUGUGUAGUAUGUACUAAUUCUAGGGAGACUGAUCUCAUAUUGUUCACUCUUCAGAAUUAGUAUUUAUAAGUUUUUGUGUGGUUUUAGCACCUCAGUUAAGAAAUAAAUAUUAGCCUUCUCUAAAGAGGUUUGUUGCCUUGCUUUUUAACCUUUUCCCCUGUUCAAAUUGUCAGAUGAUGGCUACAGAUAUGGACACCUGUAUACAUAUGGGAUGUUUCCUCUGUCAAUGCCGUCCUUUAAUCCAGUUAAUGAUGCUGAAGUUUUCAAUGGCUUUGGCACCGCAUACAUAUGGGAUGUUUCCUCCGUCAAUGGCUCAAUGCUGUCCUUUAAUCCAGUUAAUGAUGCUGAAGUUUUUAAUGGCUUUGGCAUGCAAAGCCAUCCAAAUGUGGAAAAUAGAUCUCUUGGUUGCAAUGAGGGAGUUGUAUAUGAAGAAGCUCUACAGAACUUUUAUGCAGCAUAUCAGUCAAGAAACAAAGGAAGAAGAUAUGUCUCAAGCGGGAUUUAAUCGAUGGAGUUCCGCUGCUAAAGGGCGUGAGAGGCAGUCCCAUCAUUGGAAGUUUACUGUUUGAAUCACAGGGAUCUGGGAUUACACAAGCACAUACUUUACUGAAUUCUAUAGUUCUAUUCGUUGGCACAUCGGUUGAUCAGUUUUGAGGUAUGCUAGCAUUCAAAUCUACUUCGGACACUAGAUCACACAUCAAAAUUUUGAUACCUGAAAUGGUAGCUUCAGAAGAAGGGUAUCAAAAUAGAUUCAUGGUCUCUUUGCUUAGUUCUAUGCUUCUCAAAAUGCUUUAGUAUAUGCCCAUAAUAUCAUAGUACGAAUUGUUCUAUGAGCAGUUUCCUUUGUCUACCAUCAGGGAUAGUAAUUCAUUCGGUAAUCUGAUAUGUAUAUGUUCUGCAUUUCUGACUGAAAUAAUGGUAAGUUUGGCUUUGGCAAUUGGUGUGUGUAGUUUUUUCAGUUGAUAUAAUUUGAUCAUGCUGAAGGCAAGAUAUACAUCAUGGUUACUUCAGGUAGCUUAAAGGGUGUGGGUCAGUGUUAAAUGUGAAAUAGCUUCACCGGGCAAGUUGUUUCACUUCUUUACAUUCAAGAGUUAAACCAGGGACGAAGCACAAUCAGACACUCUGUUUUUGCAAAAUAUUUUCUACCUUCCUCUGUCGUUGAAGUGUAUUGGCUUUCUUUCUUACAAUACAAAACUGAAAAGUAUUGUUUAAUAAACUAUAAUCGAAUUUUUCUAAGGUGGAGAUGAGAAAAAUUGUGAACAAGAUAGAACACACUCACUAUGGUACCUGUGUUUCGUAAUCAAGGUCCUGAAUUUAGCUUGACGAACUAUCAAUUCAAAUAGAUCAUAGAACAAUGGUUAUAACUUUAGUAGGGCAUUCUGUCCUGGAAAUACAAUUGUUGAUAGAUCUGCUUUCCUGCGAUCAAGAGACAAAGAAAACUGGAACGAAGCAAUCCUGUUACUGAAUUUUCGUAUAUAUACGUGCGUCAUCCCUCAAGAGAACUCUUAGUCAGAGUCGAACUCUGCAUCCUCUCCGCCUUCCCUAACCCCUCUCAUAAAUAUCGUCUUCGGUGGCUUGGGGGAGAGGAGUGGAGUGGGGUUUGGAUCCCGUGGAUGCGGACGAGAGAAGCAAAACAUUGAUGCCGGUGGCAAGGGCCUUUUCGAGACUCCGAACGUGCUGCUUGACAGAGCCUGGACAUGUGCAACGGAGGCUCGCCGCCGUCGGGAUCCGGCCACCACGGGCUCCCAGCGUCAGAUCCGUAGGUACCGGAACCAAUCUUGCAGCCACCGUUGGUUUCUCUCGGAGCAAGUGCUACUAUUGGGAUCCGGCUACCACAAGCUCCCCAGGGUUGGAUCCGUCUGUCCUGGAGCCGACCCUGCACCCUGUGCUCCUUUCUCUCGAAGCAAGCAAGCGAUUGACGCAGCAGCGGCACGAGGGAGCGAGCUCUGCCUUGAGGUGCCACUGGGGCAGACAACCACGAGCUCCUCCACCACCAUCUCCUCCCCUACCCGGGUUCAUCUGCUCAUCUGCACCGUCAUGGCGGCUAGCAUCAGUACCUCUAUCCUCCACACCAGUUACGUCACACACCGAUAUCAAUAGGGACUGUACCUUGCUUCCUUCCGACGCGUGGAGGCUGGCCUCCUCACCCACCCCGUACUGCACUGCUGCAAGGACAAACCAACCCAGGAGGAGGCAAAUAAUAUAGUCAAGCAAAUGCACAUAGUACUAUAGGGUCUGAUCACUUCCUGUGUGUACAUUGGUACUGAGUUCAGAAUGCAUGCCAUCCAACUCAUGCAUCAUAUAUAAGUGAUGGCAUGCUGUUGCUGAAUUGUGAACCAUACAUCUACAAAGAAAAUCAUGGGAAACUUCCUUCCGUGUAAAUUGUGUUUGUACAGAUCAACUGCAGCUGUGUAUGUAUUGCUGAAUAUUUAUGAUAUGCAGAGGGCUGUACACACAUAUUUUCAAGGGGAGUAAAAGGGCAGUUGUUGUCAA